UACGAAGGGGGCUAGCGUUGUUCGGAAUUACUGGGCGUAAAGCGCGCGCAGGCGGUCCUUCAAGUCAGAGGUGAAAGCCCAGAGCUCAACUCUGGAACGGCCUUUGAAACUAGAGGACUUGGGUACGGGAGAGGUGAGUGGAAUUCCGAGUGUAGAGGUGAAAUUCGUAGAUAUCGGGAGGAACACCAGUGGCGAAGGCGGCGAUCUGGGAAGAUACUGACGCUGAUGCGCGAAAGCUGGGGGAGCAAACAGG
rnacentral:rRNA from 1 species